CCUCCCUCCUUACUCCUACCUGCUUAAGCUCCAGAUGAGUCUUUGCAAGAUCCAGGUGGAAAAUGUUUCCCAGGAAAGGCAGGCGCCAGGGUCCUGGAGGGUAGUUCUUUGGGCGCCUCCUUUUGAGGAAAUCUACAAAGAACAGGAAGGCAACAGCGCCCAGCAGAAGAGUGCGGAGGUGAAGCGCGCCCCAGAGGGCGGCCACCAGGGAGCCCACCGUGGCCAGCAUGCAGAGGACUUGCCCUGGGCCUUCUUAGGACCGCACAAAGGACUAUCCACACAGGUAACUACCUUGGUGUCCAGGCUGCCCUGCCCACCAGAUCUGCUCUGCCCGGCCUCCCGCGAAUUGUACCACUUCUCUGCCCUCUGCCCUCUGCCCUGCAGUUCCUCCCUCCCUGGCCUUCCUGUUCCCUCUAUGAGCCAGGCCUCUGCUGCACCCUGGACAGGGGAUAGAGACUCUGCACCCCUGGACUCCCCACAUCUUUCCUGGAACAGGCUGGCUAGCAGUGCUUUCUUCCUUUAUCAUAAAAUCCAUUUUCUGGCACACACCCAGGGCUCAGGCUGCUGGGCUCCUCAUUUCCAGGCCCCCUCAGCCUGAGAGUGCCAUAGUCAGUGGAGCCCGAUUUCCCAUCACUGUCACCAGGCCCGCUGGCUCUCUGGCAGCAGCAGCUCUGGAUCUGUCUUAGGAACUUACCAUCAGGCGGGCAGCACACUCUGCCCUCACAUGAGAGGCUGCAUCUCACAGAGCUGGGCAAGGGACGAUCAUUUCAGUCCUGACUUGGGUUGAGAACAUGCACUGCGCAGGAAUAAGGGAAUCCCUGAGUGUGAAAGAUUCCCAGAGGAAGCCUUCUCUCUGAGAGCGCUCUGCAGAGGAGAAAGAAUGGCACCAAAACUCCCAGCACUGGGCUGGGUUCAUCAUAGGAGGCUCCAAAGUCCAUGCCAGGCUGAGGUGCCUCCCUGUUUCUCCUCAUCUGAGUCCUCCACAGAAGCGGCUCAGUUCUGGGAGACCUCGGCACACUCACGUGUAUUCAAGCUUUCUCUGUGUGUCUGACAACCACUUGAAUUCACCAAAGGACGGAAAGUGGAAAUCCAGGAUCACAAGAUCAAAUGCAUUUACAGGUGCUCGUCAUGAGGGCAGGCAACAAUCCCACAUGAUGGGGCAGCCUUCACCCCAGCAUCCCACAUCGUAGAUCCUGCCACCUCUCCAAAACACCAUCUGUGACCACAUGAAGCUUUGGGGGACAUCUACACACAAUCUGUAACACUGGGGCUCCUACUAAGGGGGGACCUCCCACUGG